rnacentral:rRNA from 1 species
AUUGAACGCUGGCGGCAAGCCUAACACAUGCAAGUCGAACGAGUGGCGGACGGGUGAGUAAUGUCUGGGAAACUGCCUGAUGGAGGGGGAUAACUACUGGAAACGGUAGCUAAUACCGCAUACCAUCAGAUGUGCCCAGAUGGGAUUAGCUAGUGGGUGGGGUAAAGGCUCACCUAGGCGACGAUCCCUAGCUGGUCUGAGAGGAUGACCAGCCAAAAUGGGACGUAGACACGGUCCAGACUCCUACGGGAGGCAGCAGUGGGGAAUAUUGCACAAUGGGCGGAAGCCUGAUGGAGCCAAGCCGCGGGUAUGAAGAAGGCCUUCGGGUUGUAAAGUACUUUCAGCGGGGAGGCGUUACCCGCAGAAGAAGCACCGGCUAACUCCGUGCCAGCAGCCGCGGUAAUAC